GGAAGACCUGCAAAGGGAGAUGGACCUUUCACUCUGACGCACUUGGACAGAUGUCACUGAGUGAAGGAGGGCAGCAGCUUGGACUGGGGCUGCCCCGAGGUCAGACAGAAGCAGAGAGAAGGUCACACUGACGGAUGUGGUGACAGAUUGAAAGUGGAACUGAAAGAGAAGUCAGGAGUGAUUCUUGUGGUUUGGGCUUGUGACACUGGGUGGCUGUUCACUCAGCUAUUGGCAGAGAUGGGGGCUCUGACAGAAGACAGGUUCUGCGGGUACAUCACGAGCUCACUUGGGACAAGGACAGACCCUUAAUGCUGUCCACAGUGAAAUAUCCACGCACUCAGAGCAGGAGCAGCUGGACACGACCAUCCAAUCACGGCAAAACUGCACUUUGGAAACUGCCACAGAGGACUGACUUGUAAGGAAACCAGUUAAAGGGACGUGAGAGGCGGUGUGUGCAGUCUCUUAUGAAAGGACACUAUUCUGCUCUUCUAUAAGUCAUUGAUUCUUCCAGGGUCAAACAGGAAAACAACUCUUGACCAGCCAUAGGCUUAGGCCUUACAUUCUCAAAGAACAAGGCUCCAUUACCUGUCGGGGCCAUGGUGUCCGCCUUCUUGCUCUCCCGGGCCCCCUUCUGGGCCCACACCUGGACCGUGUACUCCACGCCCGGCCUCAGGCCCGUCAGCACGGCGCUGCUCUGCUCCUUCCCCACCGGCACCUCCCCGGUGUCUCCAUCGGCAGACGUGUAGCGCACCAUGUACCUGUCGAUGACGGCCUGCACCGGGUCCCAGGAGACGGUGGCCGUGUUCUCCGUCACCCGGUCGGUCACCAGGUUUUGGGGGCUGUCAAUGUCUUUAAAAAAGAUAUUUGGAAAGCCUAAGCUUUGAAGCCAUGGAAGAAAUACCCACCACCCACCACUCUCAUUUCAUCUUCUAGAACUCUCUUAGCACAAGGCAAUGGUAUUCCCAUCCAGAAUCUGCUGGGAGUCAAGGGAGAAAGGAACCCCAGUUCUCAAUUUCAAAAGACUACACAUUGUAAGCUUAACAUACUUUUGGCUUUUAGCUCCCUAAAAUAUAUGAGGAACGACAUCUUCUUGACAACAUUAUGUCACAUCACAACAGUCGUUAAACAUCUGCCAUGACGUUCAGGGUACCUAGUUUAUCAUUUUAUCAUGGGCUGCUUCACGGGCAGUCAUUCUAAAAGUAUUAUCACAAGCAUUGCAACGAUCAGAGCCUAUAAACAUCUUUGCUGAGUCCGCUGAAAACAUGGCCACCGCAUAACUUUACUUCUCCCUUCCUGUGGGCUGAGUGGUUUCGUGAGCAGCUCACCACGACCAGGCAGAGAGAGCUACCAACUACCACCUCGCUGAGGUCACUACUAGGACUCACUGUCCUUUUUGGUCUCUGUGACUUUCUCUGCAAAGUCUCUCAUCUCAGGCCGCCUCUUGGGUAUCAUGCACACUCAAAUCCGCAUGCUCAAAAUUCAAUUCUGAUUGAUCUUUUUCUUAUUACCUGUUGGGGCCGUGGUGUUGGCUUUCUUGCUCUCCCGGGCCCCCUUCUGGGCCCACACCUGGACUGUGUACUCCACGCCCGGCCUCAGGCCCGUCAGCACGGCGCUGCUCUGCUCCUUCCCCACCGGCACCUCCCCGGUGUCUCCAUCGGCAGACGUGUAGCGCACCAUGUACCUGUCGAUGACGGCCUGCACCGGGUCCCAGGAGACGGUGGCCGUGUUCUCUGUCACCCGGUCGGUCACCAGGUUUGUUGGGCUGUCAAUGUCUGAAAGGAAAGUUAAAGCGCACCAUUAACAAGCACCGAAGAGGGAGGCCGUGUUGCUUGAAGGGAGGCAGUCUCCUGGUCUUGUGGUUUUCCCAUGUCCUAUGUCAGUUUUCAGGUGUGUCACCAAGACCGAACUUCUCUCCACAGCUAGACUCUUGGAUCCUCAAGAAGGCAGCACAGGAUAAUGGAAUGAGCAGGAGUAUCCAGAGUCAGAAGAGCCAGUUUGCAGUUUCAGCCCAGAGAUGCAGAGCAGAGGGGCAGGAAAAGCCCUGAGCAGAGCCAACAGACUGGGGAUAUAGGCCCAGCUCUGCCAUCAGCCAGCCAUGGCCCUGGACAGCUAGCACUGCUGUCCCCAGCUGAACCUCAGUUCCUUCUUUGUAAAAUAUGGGCCUUACUAAAUAGAUACGAAGGUACCAUAAUAUGCAAUGAAUAUGCCACAAAUCUGACUCCAUGAAUCAUCAGCUGACUUUGUGACUUGUAAAAAUCAUUCACUUCUUUGUAUUUGAGGUUUCUUAACUAUAAAAUGGGGAUAUUGAUUCCUGCUCUACCCAUCUCACCAAAUACCUCUGAGGACGAAGCAAUUGAAGAAUAUAACCCUCAUUCAUUGCUGGUGGGUAUAUAAAAUACUGCCACCAUUCUGGGAAUAACUUGGCCAUUCCUCAAAAAGUGAAACAUAGAGUUAUCAUAUGACCCAGCAAUUCCACUCCUAGGUAUAUACCCAAGUGAACUGAAAGCAUAUGUCCACACAAAAAGUUGUACCAUAAACGCUCAUAGUAACCCUAUUCACAAUAGCCAAAAAGUGGAAAAAGCACAAAUGCUUAUCAAGUGACAAAUGGAUAAACAAUGUGUUACAUCCAUACAAUGGAAUAUUAUUUGGCAAGAAAAUAAAGUACCCAUACAUGCUCCAACAUGGAUGAAAUUUGAAAAUAUUAUGCGUAGUUAAUAAAGCCAGUCACAAAAGAC